rnacentral:rRNA from 1 species
UACGGAGGUUGCGAGCGUUGUCCGGAAUCACUGGGCGUAAAGGGCGCGUAGGCGGCCUGAUAAGUAGGGGGUGAAAUCCUGCGGCUUAACCGCAGGGCUGCCUUCUAAACUGUCAGGCUAGAGCACAGUAGAGGCAGGUGGAAUUCCCGGUGUAGCGGUGGAAUGCGUAGAGAUCGGGAAGAACAUCAGUGGCGAAGGCGGUUCUCUGGGACGGUACUGACGCUGAGACGCGAAAGCGUGGGGAGCGAACAGG